CUACCCGCUGAACUUAAGCAUAUCAUAAGGCGGAGGA
rnacentral:rRNA from 1 species